GCGCGAAAACUUUACAAUGCUGGCAACAGCGAUAAGGGAACCUCGAGUGCCAGGUUACAAAUCUGGCUGUCGAGAUGCCUAAAAAGCAUUUCAUAGCAAGGGCCGGGCAAGACCGGUGCCAGCCGCCGCGGUAACACCGGCGGCUCGAGUGGUAACCGUUAUUAUUGGGUCUAAAGGGUCUGUAGCCGGCCGGAUAAGUCUCUUGAGAAAUCUGGCAGCUUAACUGUCAGGCUUUCAGGAGAUACUGUCUGGCUCGAGGCCGGGAGAGGUGAGAGGUACUUCAGGGGUAGGGGUGAAAUCUUGUAAUCCUUGGAGGACCACCAGUGGCGAAGGCGUCUCACCAGAACGGACCUGACGGCAAGGGACGAAAGCUAGGGGCAC
rnacentral:rRNA from 1 species